UCUAGAGAUUACUCCUACGGGAGGCAGCAGUGAGGAAUCUUCCACAAUGGACGAAAGUCUGAUGGAGCAAUACCGCGUGCAGGAAGACGCUUUUCGGAGUGUAAACUGCUUCUGACGUCGAAGAUUAUGACUGUAGACGAAGAAUAAGGACCGGCUAACUACGUGCCAGCAGCCGCGGUAAUAAUCGUCGAC
rnacentral:rRNA from 1 species